rnacentral:RNase_P_RNA from 2 species
AAGGUACAACAGACAAUAGCUUGAAAGCUUUUCAAGAGGAAAGUCUGGGCUGCAGUGAAGCAUGGUUCCAUUUAAAGAAUGGCUAGGGUAACCUAAGGGACAGUGCAACAGAGAGUAAACCGCCAAUUUUAUUGGUAAGGGUGAAAGGGUGGGGUAAGAGCCUACCAGCACUUUAAGUAAUUUUAGUGGCUAUGUAAACCCAACCAGCAGCAAGAAGAGCUUGGUAAUAAGCUUCACGCUUAUGUUCUUCGCAAGAUUGCUUAAGUAAUUUAGCAACUAGAUAAAUUAUUGUCAAAAACAAAAUCCAGCUUACCGUUGUGCCUUAUUU